AUCGCUUCUCGGCCUUUUGGCUAAGAUCAAGUGUAGUAUCUGUUCUUAUCAGUUUAAUAUCUGAUACGUCCCCUAUCUGGGGACCAUAUAUUAAAUUGAUUUUUGGAAUAGGGAGAUGGAAUAGGGGCUUGCUCCGUCCACUCCACGUAUCGACCUGGUAUUGCAGUACCUCCAGGAACGGUGCACCCCUG
rnacentral:snRNA from 1 species